AUUGAACGCUGGCGGCAGGCCUAACACAUGCAAGUCGAGCGGAUGAGUGGAGCUUGCUCCGUGAUUCAGCGGCGGACGGGUGAGUAAUGCCCAGGAAUCUGCCUGGUAGUGGGGGACAACGUUUCGAAAGGAACGCUAAUACCGCAUACGUCCUACGGGAGAAAGCAGGGGACCUUCGGGCCUUGCGCUAUCAGAUGAGCCUAGGUCGGAUUAGCUAGUAGGUGAGGUAAUGGCUCACCUAGGCGACGAUCCGUAACUGGUCUGAGAGGAUGAUCAGUCACACUGGAACUGAGACACGGUCCAGACUCCUACGGGAGGCAGCAGUGGGGAAUAUUGGACAAUGGGCGAAAGCCUGAUUCAGCCAUGCCGCGUGUGUGAAGAAGGUCUUCGGAUUGUAAAGCACUUUAAGUUGGGAGGAAGGGUAGUAAGUUAAUACCUUGCUGUUUUGACGUUACCAACAGAAUAAGCACCGGCUAACUUCGUGCCAGCCGCCGCUGUAAGAC
rnacentral:rRNA from 1 species